UACGUAGGAGGCAAGCGUUAUCCGGAUUUACUGGGCGUAAAGCGUGUGCAGGCGGUUUGGUAAGUUGGAUGUGAAAUCUCCUGGCUCAACCAGGAGGUGUCGUUCAAAACUGCCAGACUCGAGGACGGUAGAGGAGAGUGGAAUUCCCGGUGUAGUGGUGAAAUGCGUAGAUAUCGGGAGGAACACCAGUGGCGAAAGCGGCUCUCUGGGCCGUUCCUGACGCUAAGACACGAAAGCGUGGGUAGCGAACGGGAUUAGAAACCCCGGUAGUCCACGCUGUAAACGAUGCGAACUUGGUGUUGGUGGCGUAAAAACCUUCAGUGCCGAAGCUAACGCGAUAAGUUCGCCGCCUGGGGACUACGAUCGCAAGAUUAAA
rnacentral:rRNA from 1 species